rnacentral:misc_RNA from 1 species
AAGUCGUAACAAGGUUUCCGUAGGUGAACCUGCGGAAGGAUCAUUACAGAGAACAUCGCCCUCACGGGUGACUCUCCAACCCUAUGUUAUUAUACCUUUGUUGCUUUGGCGAGCCGCCUCGGCCACCGGCUCAUGCUGGUGAGUGCUCGCCAGAGGAUCCCAAACUCUGAAUAUUAGUGUCGUCUGAGUACUAUAUAAUAGUUAAAACUUUCAACAACGGAUCUCUUGGUUCUG